UCGACGGAACUCUGUGUUUAGGUUUCGGCCAAGAAGACAGGAUGUUUAGUGGCGGACGGGUGAGUAACGCGUGAGUAACCUGCCUUGGAGUGGGGAAUAACACAGUGAAAACUGUGCUAAUACCGCAUAAUGCAUUUGGGUCGCAUGAUUCUGAAUGCCAAAGAUUUAUCGCUUUGAGAUGGACUCGCGUCUGAUUAGCUAGUUGGCGGGGUAACGGCCCACCAAGGCGACGAUCAGUAGCCGGACUGAGAGGUUGGCCGGCCACAUUGGAACUGAGACACGGCCCAGACUCCUACGGGAGGCAGCAGUGGGGAAUAUUGGGCAAUGGGCGCAAGCCUGACCCAGCAACGCCGCGUGAAGGAAGAAGGCUUUCGGGUUGUAAACUUCUUUUGUCGGGGACGAAGCAAGUGACGGUACCUGACGAAUAAGCCACGGCUAACUACGUGCCAGCAGCCGCGGUAAUACGUAGGUGGCAAGCGUUAUCCGGAUUUACUGGGUGUAAAGGGCGUGUAGGCGGGAAAGCAAGUCAGAUGUGAAAACUGUGGGCUCAACCCACAGCCUGCAUUUGAAACUGUUUUUCUUGAGUACUGGAGAGGCAGAUGGAAUUCCUAGUGUAGCGGUGAAAUGCGUAGAUAUUAGGAGGAACACCAGUGGCGAAGGCGAUCUGCUGGACAGCAACUGACGCUGAGGCGCGAAAGCGUGGGGAGCAAACAGGAUUAGAUACCCUGGUAGUCCACGCUGUAAACGAUGGAUACUAGGUGUGGGGGGUCUGACCCCCUCCGUGCCGCAGUUAACACAAUAAGUAUCCCACCU
rnacentral:rRNA from 1 species